ensembl:lncRNA
GUAUCACAGCCUGAAAUCAAGACAUCGGCCAAGCCUGGCUCUUCCCUGGAGAUUGUGGGAAAGAACCUGCCUCUCAGGCCAUUCCACUGUUGGCAGAGUUCACUUCUUUGUGUGGGGAGAAGAGAUUUCAGGCACAGGAAGUUCUUGUGAUAGCUUUCUUCAGAGAUGGAGGAAGGCUUCAAGGAGCUGAGAGUGGCCCCCAGCUGACAGUCAGCAAAGACUGGGAACCUCAAUUCUAUACCUGCAAGAACUGAAUUUUGCCAACAAUUAAAUGACCUUGGAGAGGGCCAAAAACGGAGAGCUUUCACGACAACUGAACAGUUUCACCACGUGGUUAGAAAAGCAGCCACCCUCUACCCCCACCUCUGUGAGUGAAAGCC